rnacentral:rRNA from 1 species
GACGAACGCUGGCGGCGUGCUUAACACAUGCACGUCGAGGGCCCGGCGCACGGGUGAGUAACACGUCUCCAACCUUCCAUUUACUCGGGGAUAGCCUUUCGAACGACAGAUUAAUCCCCGCUAUAAAGGAUGGGGUUGCGUUGCAUUAGGUGGUUGGUGAGGAAACGGCAAACCAAGGCUUCGAUGGAUAGGGGGUCUGAGAGGAAGGUCCCCAACAUUGUACAUGAGACAAGGUCCAAACUACUACGGGAGGCAGAAGGGAGGAAUAGUGGUCAAUGGGCGGUAGCCGGAACCAGCCAAGUAGCGUGAAGGAUGAAGGCUUAUGGGUCGUAAACUUCUUUUAUAUAAGAAUAUGUAUUAUAUGAAUAAGGAUCGGCUAACUCCGUGCCAGCCGCCGCGGUAAUAC